rnacentral:rRNA from 1 species
UACGUAGGAAGCAAGCGUUGUCCGGAAUCACUGGGCGUAAAGCGCACGUAGGCGGCUUUGUAAGUUAGAGGUGAAAGCCCGGGGCUCAACUCCGGAACUGCCUUUAAGACUGCAUCGCUUGAAUCCAGGAGAGGUGAGUGGAAUUCCGAGUGUAGAGGUGAAAUUCGUAGAUAUUCGGAAGAACACCAGUGGCGAAGGCGGCUCACUGGACUGGUAUUGACGCUGAGGUGCGAAAGCGUGGGGAGCAAACAGG